rnacentral:rRNA from 1 species
AGCCAUGGGCAGGUUGAAGGUUGAGUAACAUCAACUGGAGGACCGAACCCACUAACUUUGAAAAGUUAGGGGAUGACCUGUGGCUAGGAGUGAAAGGCUAAUCAAACCGGGAGAUAGCUGGUUCUCCCCGAAAUCUAUUUAGGUAGAGCCUCGGACGAAUACUUACGGGGGUAGAGCACUGUUAAGGCUAGGGGGUCAUCCCGACUUACCAACCCUUUGCAAACUCCGAAUACCGUAAAGUACUAUCCGGGAGACACACGGCGGGUGCUAACGUCCGUCGUGAAGAGGGAAACAACCCAGACCGCCAGCUAAGGUCCCAAAGUCAUAGUUAAGUGGGAAACGAUGUGGAAAGGCCCAGACAGCCAGGAGGUUGGCUUAGAAGCAGCCAUCCUUUAAAGAAAGCGUAAUAGCUCACUGGUCGAGUCGGUCUGCGCGGAAGAUGUAACGGGGCUAAACUAUGCACCGAAGCUGCGGAUUCAGAAUUUAUUCUGAGUGGUAGGGGAGCGUUCUGUAAGCGGUUGAAGGUGUACCGGGAGGUAUGCUGGACGUAUCAGAAGUGCGAAUGCUGACAUGAGUAACGAUAAUGGGAGUGAAAAACUCCCACGCCGGAAGACCAAGGGUUCCUAUCCCAUGUUAAUCAGGGUAGGGUAAGUCGACCCCUAAGGCGAGGCCGAAAGGCGUAGUCGAUGGGAAACAGAUUAAUAUUUCUGUACUCGAUAUAAUUGCGAUGGGGGGACGGAGCAGGCUAAACAAGCAUGGCGUUGGUAGUCCAUGUGAAAGUGAGUAGGUUGGCGACUUAGGUAAAUCCGGGUUGCUAUUAAGACUGAGACACGAGACGAGUCACUACGGUGAUGAAGUUGUUGAUGCCAUACUUCCAGGAAAAGCCUCUAAGCUUCAGAUUAUAUGGAAUCGUACCCCAAACCGACACAGGUGGUCAGGUAGAGAAUACUAAGGCGCUUGAGAGAACUCGGGUGAAGGAACUAGGCAAAAUCGUACCGUAACUUCGGGAGAAGGUACGCUCCUAUCUGUGAUGAGACUUGCUCUCUAAGCGGACGGGAGCCGCAGUGACCAGGUGGCUGGGACUGUUUAUUAAAAACACAGCACUGUGCAAAAUCGCAAGAUGACGUAUACGGUGUGACACCUGCCCGGUGCCGGAAGGUUAAUUGAUGGGGUUAUCUUCGGAGAAGCUCUUGAUCGAAGCCCCGGUAAACGGCGGCCGUAACUAUAACGGUCCUAAGGUAGCGAAAUUCCUUGUCGGGUAAGUUCCGACCUGCACGAAUGGUGUAACCAUGGCCACGCUGUCUCCACCCGAGACUCAGUGAAAUUGAAAUCGCAGUGAAGAUGCUGUGUACCCGCGGCUAGACGGAAAGACCCCGUGAACCUUUACUAUAGCUUCACAGUGGACUUUGAACCUGUUUGUGUAGGAUAGCUGGGAGACUUUGAAGCAGUGACGCUAGUCAUUGUGGAGUCGUCCUUGAAAUACCAGCCUGGCAUGUUUGAGGUUCUAACCUGGGUCCCUUAUCGGGAUCGGGGACAUUGUGUGGUGGGUAGUUUGACUGGGGCGGUCUCCUCCCAAAGAGUAACGGAGGAGC